rnacentral:rRNA from 1 species
CGACGCUGGCGGCGUGGAUAAGACAUGCAAGUCGAACGAGAUCUCUGAAUAGCUUGCUAAUCGGAGUGACAGUGGCGGACGGGUGCGUAACACGUGAGCAACCUGCCCUGAAGUGGGGGAUAGCCUUCCGAAAGGAAGAUUAAUACCGCAUGUGGUCUUCGGAUCAAAGGUGGCUUCGGCUACCGCUUUGGGAUGGGCUCGCGGCCUAUCAGCUUGUUGGUGAGGUAACGGCUCACCAAGGCGACGACGGGUAGCUGGUCUGAGAGGACGAUCAGCCUCACUGGAACUGAGACACGGUCCAGACACCUACGGGUGGCAGCAGUCGAGAAUCAUUCACAAUGGGGGAAACCCUGAUGGUGCAACGCCGCGUGGAGGAUGACGGUCUUCGGAUUGUAAACUCCUGUCAUCUGGGAGUAAGCCUUGUUCGUUAAUAGCGUGCAAGGUUGAUAGUACCAGAAGAGGAAGGGACGGCUAACUUCGUGCCAGCAGCCGCGGUAAUACGAAGGUCCCAAGCGUUGUUCGGAAUCACUGGGCGUAAAGCGUGCGUAGGCGGCGCGGAAAGUCAGAUGUGAAAUCUCUGGGCUCAACCCGGAAACUGCAUCCGAUACUCCCGUGCUAGAGUAAUGGAGGGGUAGCUGGAAUUCUCGGUGUAGCAGUGAAAUGCGUAGAUAUCGAGAGGAACACUCGUGGCGAAGGCGAGCUACUGGACAUUUACUGACGCUGAGGCACGAAGGCCAGGGUAGCGAAAGGGAUUAGAUACCCCUGUAGUCCUGGCAGUAAACGGUGUGCGCUUGGUGUGGGAGGAUUCGACCCCUUCCGUGCCGGAGCUAACGCGUUAAGCGCACCGCCUGGGAAGUACGGCCGCAAGGCUAAAACUAUAAAGAGAAUUUC